rnacentral:rRNA from 1 species
UUGAUCCUGGCUGAGGAUGAACGCUAGCGGCAGGCUUAAUACAUGCAAGUCGAGGGGCAUCACAGGUAGCAAUACUGGGUGGCGACCGGCAAACGGGUGCGGAACACGUACACAACCUUCCUUUAAGUGGGGGAUAGCCCAGAGAAAUUUGGAUUAAUACCCCGUAAGAUGAUUUGGUGGCAUCACCAGGUUAUUAAAGCUCCGGCGCUUGAAGAUGGGUGUGCGUCUGAUUAGGUAGUUGGUGCGGGUAACGGCCCACCAAGCCAACGAUCAGUAACUGGUGUGAGAGCACGACCAGUCACACGGGCACUGAGACACGGGCCCGACUCCUACGGGAGGCAGCAGUAAGGAAUAUUGGUCAAUGGACGCAAGUCUGAACCAGCCAUGCCGCGUGGAGGAUGAAGGUCCUCUGGAUUGUAAACUUCUUUUAUCUGGGAAGAAAUGCAUUUUUUCUAAAGUGUUUGACGGUACCAGAUGAAUAAGCACCGGCUAACUCCGUGCCAGCAGCCGCGGUAAUACGGAGGGUGCAAGCGUUAUCCGGAUUCACUGGGUUUAAAGGGUGCGUAGGUGGGCAGUUAAGUCAGUGGUGAAAUCUCCGGGCUCAACCCGGAAACUGCCAUUGAUACUAUCUGUCUUGAAUAUCGUGGAGGUAAGCGGAAUAUGUAGUGUAGCGGUGAAAUGCUUAGAGAUUACAUGGAAUACCAAUUGCGAAGGCAGGUUACUACUAAUUGAUUGACGCUGAUGGACGAAAGCGUGGGUAGCGAACAGGAUUAGAUACCCUGGUAGUCCACGCCGUAAACGAUGGAUACUAGCUGUUGGGCGCAAGUUCAGUGGCUAAGCGAAAGUGAUAAGUAUCCCACCUGGGGAGUACGAACGCAAGUUUGAAACUCAAAGGAAUUGACGGGGGCCCGCACAAGCGGUGGAGCAUGUGGUUUAAUUCGAUGAUACGCGAGGAACCUUACCAAGGCUUAAAUGUAGAUUGACCGGUUUGGAAACAGACUUUUCGCAAGACAAUUUACAAGGUGCUGCAUGGUUGUCGUCAGCUCGUGCCGUGAGGUGUCAGGUUAAGUCCUAUAACGAGCGCAACCCCUGUUGUUAGUUGCCAGCGAGUCAAGUCGGGAACUCUAACAAGACUGCCAGUGUAAACUGUGAGGAAGGUGGGGAUGACGUCAAAUCAUCACGGCCCUUACGCCUUGGGCUACACACGUGCUACAAUGGACGGUACAGAGAGCAGCCACUGGGCGACCAGGUGCGAAUCUACAAAACCGUUCUCAGUUCGGAUCGGAGUCU